GCCCAGCUCUGUCCACAGAGCAUGAGACUCUUAAUAUUGGGGUUGUGGGUUUGAGCCCCACGUUGGGCA